rnacentral:rRNA from 1 species
GACGAACGCUGGCGGCGUGCCUAAUACAUGCAAGUUGAGCGCUGAAGGUUGGUACUUGUACCAACUGGAUGAGCAGCGAACGGGUGAGUAACGCGUGGGGAAUCUGCCUUUGAGCGGGGGACAACAUUUGGAAACGAAUGCUAAUACCGCAUAAAAACUUUAAACACAAGUUUUAAGUUUGAAAGAUGCAAUUGCAUCACUCAAAGAUGAUCCCGCGUUGUAUUAGCUAGUUGGUGAGGUAAAGGCUCACCAAGGCGAUGAUACAUAGCCGACCUGAGAGGGUGAUCGGCCACAUUGGGACUGAGACACGGCCCAAACUCCUACGGGAGGCAGCAGUGGGGAAUCUUCGGCAAUAGACGAAAGUCUGACCGAGCAACGCCGCGUGAGUGAAGAAGGUUUUCGGAUCGUAAAACUCUGUUGGUAGAGAAGAACGUUGGUGAGAGUGGAAAGCUCAUCAAGUGACGGUAACUACCCAGAAAGGGACGGCUAACUACGUG